rnacentral:miRNA from 1 species
CUGCUCAACAUAUAUAUAUAUAUAUAUGUGUGUGUGUGUGUAUGUGUGUGUGUGUGUGUAUAUAUAUAUAUACACACACACGAUAUAUUGGUGCUACAAAUUUAC